rnacentral:rRNA from 1 species
GACGAACGCUGGCGGCGUGCUUAACACAUGCAAGUCGAACGGUGAAGCGCCUUCCUUUUUGGUGGGUGUGGAUGAGUGGCGAACGGGUGAGUAACACGUGAGUAACCUGCCCCCUUCUUCUGGAUAACCGCAUGAAAGUGUGGCUAAUACGGGAUAUUCUGGGUCUGUCGCAUGAUGGGUCUGGGAAAGAUAUUGUUUCGGUGGGGGAUGGGCUCGCGGCCUAUCAGCUUGUUGGUGGGGUGAUGGCCUACCAAGGCGGUGACGGGUAGCCGGCCUGAGAGGGUGGACGGUCACACUGGGACUGAGACACGGCCCAGACUCCUACGGGAGGCAGCAGUGGGGAAUAGUGCACAAUGGGAGCAAGCCUGAUGCAGCGACGCCGCGUGAGGGAUGGAGGCCUUCGGGUUGUGAACCUCUUUCGCCAGUGAAGCAGGCCUGCCUCGUUUGUGGGUGGGUUGACGGUAGCUGGAUAAGAAGCGCCGGCUAACUACGUG